rnacentral:rRNA from 1 species
GAUGAACGCUGGCGGCGUGCCUAAUACAUGCAAGUCGAGCGAAUGGAUUAAGAGCUUGCUCUUAUGAAGUUAGCGGCGGACGGGUGAGUAACACGUGGGUAACCUGCCCAAAAGACUGGGAUAACUCCGGGAAACCGGGGCUAAUACCGGAUAACAUUUCGAACCGCAUGGUUCGAAAUUGAAAGGCGGCUUCGGCUGGCACUUAUGGAUGGACCCGCGUCGCAUUAGCUAGUUGGUGAGGUAACGGCUCACCAAGGCAACGAUGCGUAGCCGACCUGAGAGGGUGAUCGGCCACACUGGGACUGAGACACGGCCCAGACUCCUACGGGAGGCAGCAGUAGGGAAUCUUCCGCAAUGGACGAAAGUCUGACGGAGCAACGCCGCGUGAGUGAUGAAGGCUUUCGGGUCGUAAAACUCUGUUGUUAGGGAAGAACAAGUGCUAGUUGAAUAAGCUGGCACCUUGACGGUACCUAACCAGAAAGCCACAGCUAACUACGUGCCAGCCGCCGCAGUAA